AUAACGACUCUCGGCAACGGAUAUCUCGGCUCUCGCAUCGAUGAAGAACGUAGCGAAAUGCGAUACUUGGUGUGAAUUGCAGAAUCCCGCGAAUCAUCGAGUCUUUGAACGCAAGUUGCGCCCGAAGCCAUCUGGUCGAGGGCACGUCUGCCUGGGUGUCACGCA
rnacentral:rRNA from 4 species